rnacentral:lncRNA from 1 species
GAGAGGGAGAAAGAAGAGGCAGCCAGGAACAUGUGGAAAGAGAGAGGGGAGCGGGAGGGAAGACAAGGAAAAGUGGGUUUGAGACAGAAGAGUCAGUGAGUUCAAAGAAUCAGAGAAGACAAAAAGUCCCUUUUAUCAAAAGCCAGCCCUACCUGCCUGUUGUUAGGUAACUGUUGGUCAGAGUGUAGAAGGAAUGCCAACACCACUGCAAGAGUUAUUGCUUGAAAUCCAAGGCUAUCAAUGACACAAUUGUGUCUUGGACACUCACAGAGAAAGUGGAAUAAAUUAAAGAAUUCCAGACAGAAAACAAACAAACAAACAAAAUUAACAAAAUAAACAAAACAAAAAACAAAACAAAACU